CUUGCUCUUUCCGGAAUUGAGUGGCAAACGGGUGAGUAACACGUAAACAACCUGCCUUCAGGAUGGGGACAACAGACGGAAACGACUGCUAAUACCGAAUAAGUUCCAAGAGCCGCAUGGCCCAUGGAAGAAAAGGUGGCCUCUACCUGUAAGCUAUCGCCUGAAGAGGGGUUUGCGUCUGAUUAGCUGGUUGGAGGGGUAACGGCCCACCAAGGCGACGAUCAGUAGCCGACCUGAGAGGGUGACCGGCCACAUUGGGACUGAGACACGGUCCAGACUCC
rnacentral:rRNA from 1 species